AGCAGCUUAUUCUCGUUAUACUGCCAGCGGACUGGAGAGACACUGUGCACUCCUAGGCGGAUUUUCUUUUAUUAAAAACGAAAAGUUCCAGCUUGGGCAUGUAGCUCGGUUGGUAGAAGUGUGGUGGAAAAAUCUGCAGUCAACAGCACUUGAGAGAUGGAAGCAGAGUCAUAAAUUCAAAGUCAACCUCAGAUACACAUUAAGUUGGAGGACCUGAAAUCAAUAAUAAUAAUGUAGCCUUGGAAAUGGAACUAUAAGUGCGUAAGGAAGCUGGUGCACACAGCCUGUAGAUACUACCCAGUGUUGAUGAACAUGCCUUGAGUGAAUGAGUCUGCAGAAACUGAUGCUAAACUAAAGUCUGUAAAGCUUACAUAUUGCACAACUACACUUACAGGAACGUUUUAAAAAGGCAAAGUGAUACAAAUGACAAGCACAGCAAAGGGCUCCCAGGGGAUAAGAAGUGGAUCCAUGGUAGAAAGUCUGUAUUUGGGCUCUAUGGAUAUCAUCAUGCCCGAGUUUGUGGUACU
rnacentral:lncRNA from 1 species